rnacentral:rRNA from 1 species
CAUGCAAGUCGAGCGGGGUUAUUAGGAGCUUGCUCCUGAUAACCUAGCGGCGGACGGGUGAGUAACGCGUGGGUAACCUGCCUCAUAGAGGGGAAUAACAUUGGGAAACCAGUGCUAAUACCGCAUAAAACGUAAGUAUCGCAUGAUACAAACGUUAAAGGAGUAAUUCGCUAUGAGAUGGACCCGCGUCCGAUUAGCUAGUUGGUAGGGUAAUGGCUUACCAAGGCGACGAUCGGUAGCCGAACUGAGAGGUUGAUCGGCCACAAUGGGACUGAGACACGGCCCAUACUCCUACGGGAGGCAGCAGUGGGGAAUAUUGCGCAAUGGGGGAAACCCUGACGCAGCGACGCCGCGUGGAGGAUGAAGGUUUUUGGAUUGUAAACUCCUGUCAACGGGGAAGAAAAUGACGGUACCCGUGGAGGAAGCCCCGGCUAACUACGUGCCAGCAGCCGCGGUAAUACGUAGGGGGCAAGCGUUGUCCGGAAUUAUUGGGUGUAAAGGGCGUGUAGGCGGGAUUUUAAGUCAGUUGUGAAAACCCAAGGCUCAACCUUGGGAUUGCAUCUGAAACUAGGAUUCUUGAGUGCAGUAGAGGUAAGCGGAAUUCCUAGUGUAGCAGUGAAAUGCGUAGAUAUUAGGAGGAACACCAGUGGCGAAGGCGGCUUACUGGGCUGUAACUGACGCUGAGGCGCGAAAGCGUGGGGAGCAAACAGGAUUAGAUACCCUGGUAGUCCACGCCGUAAACGAUGGAUACUAGGUGUAGGAGGUAUCGACCCCUUCUGUGCCGGAGUUAACACAAUAAGUAUCCCACCUGGGGAGUACGACCGCAAGGUUGAAACUCAAAGGAAUUGACGGGGGCCCGCACAAGCAGUGGAGUAUGUGGUUUAAUUCGAAGCAACGCGAAGAACCUUACCAGAACUUGACAUCCCUUGAAGUACUAUGAGAGUAGUAUGACCUUCGGGACAAGGAGACAGGAGGUGCAUGGUUGUCGUCAGCUCGUGUCGUGAGAUGUUGGGUUAAGUCCCGCAACGAGCGCAACCCCUAUUGUUAGUUGCCAGCAUGUAAAGAUGGGAACUCUAGCGAGACUGCCGUUAAUAAAACGGAGGAAGGUGGGGACGACGUCAAAUCAUCAUGCCCCUUACGUUCUGGGCUACACACGUACUACAAUGGCUGUUACAGAGGGGAGCGAAGCAGUAAUGUGGAGCAAAUCCCAAAAAACGGUCCCAGUUCGGAUCGAGGGCUGAAACUCGCCCUCGUGAAGUUGGAAUUGCUAGUAAUGGCAGAUCAGCAUGCUGCCGUGAAUACGUUCCCGGGCCUUGUACACACCGCCCGUCCACCAUGAAAGUUGGGAAUACCCGAAGCCUGUGAGCCGACCGCAAGGGAGCAGCAGUCGAAGGUAGGUCUAGCGAUUGGGGUGAAGUCGAAACAAGGUA